UCUGGUUGACUCGACGGGCUGGCUGACUGGCUGGCUGGCUGGCUGUUUAGCUGGCCUGACUUUGGGGCGGCUCAAGAGGGUAUUGAUAUGCUUUGCCCCCCAGUUGCUUAAGACUCUGGACAGAAAUACACACAUACACAUGGGUCACAUGGAAUAUGGGAAUAUGAAAUGGCAAAAAAAGAAGAUAUCUAACAAAUACGUUUUAAUAUGUCAAAAGAUUUGCUACUGUAUAUAUAUCUUGUACUUUCCGAAUGUUUCACGUUUCAUGCGGAGAUCCAGUGUUUCACUUUUGCUUAAGGAACAAUAUGGCAAAUGGAACCAAUCGCUUCGGCUGCACACACGCAUUUUAAAUGCAGUCGACGUCGACGUUAGUCGAUGUCGAGUGACCUUGAAAUUUCUAAUAUAUAUAUAUGUACAUGUAUGUAUAUUUAUAUUUUUUUUACUGUUGCAGGGAGAAUAAAUGGGAGAUAUUGAAGGGGAGGUUAAGUGUCAAAAAAAAGGUGUCAUGUUGCAACAAAUUGUUGCACAAAUUCAGUAAAUAAUUUAUGGAGAAAUGCCGAUAGAGAGAAAAAGAGAGAGAGAAAGAGAGAGAGAGAACAACAAGGGAGAGAGAUAAAAAGAAACUUGUGAUAAGCUCCAAAGAAAACACAGUUAAUUAUUGCAUAAAGAAACAAAAAUUCUCUCGGCUCAUUAAGUCGAGCCCCAAGACUUUAAGAUACCCUGUAUAUGUUUGUACAUACAUGUGAUAAGAGUAAUUAUAUGAAAAUUUAAAAA